rnacentral:rRNA from 1 species
GACGAACGCUGGCGGCGUGCUUAACACAUGCAAGUCGAGCGGUAAGGCCCCUUCGGGGGUACACGAGCGGCGCACGGGUGAGUAACACGUGAGCAAUCUGCCCAUCACAUCGGGAUAACUCCGGGAAACCGAAGCUAAUACCGAAUACGACCACCUCCGGCAUCGGAUGGUGGUGGAAAGUUCCAGCGGUGAUGGAUGAGCUCGCGGCCUAUCAGCUUGUUGGUGGGGUAACGGCCCACCAAGGCUUCGACGGGUAGCCGGCCUGAGAGGGUGACCGGCCACACUGGGACUGAGACACGGCCCAGACUCCUACGGGAGGCAGCAGUGGGGAAUAUUGGACAAUGGGCGAAAGCCUGAUCCAGCAACGCCGCGUGAGGGAUGACGGCCUUCGGGUUGUAAACCUCUUUCAGCAGGGACGAAGCGCAAGUGACGGUACCUGCAGAAGAAGCACCGGCCAACUACGUG